rnacentral:rRNA from 1 species
GCAAGUCGAGCGCACCUUCGGGUGAGCGGCGGACGGGUUAGUAACGCGUGGGAACAUACCCUUCUCUAAGGAAUAGCCACUGGAAACGGUGAGUAAUACCUUAUACGCCCUUCGGGGGAAAGAUUUAUCGGAGAUGGAUUGGCCCGCGUUAGAUUAGAUAGUUGGUGGGGUAACGGCCUACCAAGUCUACGACGGAUAGCUGGUCUGAGAGGACGAUC